rnacentral:rRNA from 1 species
GAUAAGCCAACUAUGAAUAUUGGGAGUUGAGUGCUGGAUAGUGGCGGACGGGUGAGUAACACGUGAGCAACCUGCCUUACAGAGGGGGAUAACGUUUGGAAACGAACGCUAAUACCGCAUAACAUAUUGGAUAGGCAUCUAUCUGGUAUCAAAGAUUUAUCGCUGUAAGAUGGGCUCGCGCCCGAUUAGGUAGUUGGUAGGGUAAAGGCCUACCAAGCCGACGAUCGGUAGCCGGACUGAGAGGUUGAACGGCCACAUUGAGACUGAGACACGGCCCAGACUCCUACGGGAGGCAGCAGUGGGGAAUAUUGCACAAUGGGGGAAACCCUGAUGCAGCGACGCCGCGUGAGGGAAGAAGGUUUUCGGAUUGUAAACCUCUGUCCUCAGUGAAGAUAAUGACGGUAACUGAGGAGGAAGCCACGGCUAACUACGUGCCAGCAGCCGCGGUAAUACGUAGGUGGCAAGCGUUGUCCGGAAUUACUGGGUGUAAAGGGAGCGUAGGCGGGAAAGCAAGUCAGAUGUGAGAUACCGGGGCUCAACCCCGGGGCUGCAUUUGAAAC